rnacentral:rRNA from 1 species
UACGUAGGGUGCGAGCGUUAAUCGGAAUUACUGGGCGUAAAGAGCGCGCAGGCGGUCGUACAAGUCGCGUGUGAAAGCCCCUGGCUCAACUGGGGAGGGUCACGCGAUACUGUUCGACUUGAAGGCAGGAGAGGGAAGUGGAAUUCCCGGUGUAGUGGUGAAAUGCGUAGAUAUCGGGAGGAACACCAGUGGCGAAGGCGACUUCCUGGCCUGUUCUUGACGCUGAGGCGCGAAAGCUAGGGUAGCAAACGGG